rnacentral:rRNA from 1 species
GAUGAACGCUGGCGGCGUGCUUAACACAUGCAAGUCGAACGGGUCUUGUAGCAAUAUGAGACUAGUGGCAAACGGGUGAGUAACGCGUGGGUGACCUGCCUCAGAGUGGGGAACAACAGACCGAAAGGUUUGCUAAUACCGCAUAUGCUCGGUGAUUCAAUUGAUCGAGUAAAGGUGCAAAUCGCUUUGAGAGGGGCCCGCGUCCCAUCAGGUAGUUGGUGAGGUAACGGCCCACCAAGCCAAUGACGGGUAGCUGUUCUGAGAGGAAGAUCAGCCACAAUGGAACUGAGACACGGUCCAUACUCCUACGGGAGGCAGCAGUGAGGAAUAUUGCGCAAUGGAGGAAACUCUGACGCAGCGGCGCCGCGUGGGUGACGAAGGCCUUCGGGUCGUAAAACCCUUUUGGCAGGGACGAGUGAGGACGGUACCUGCUGAAUAAGUCUCGGCUAACUACGUGCCAGCAGCCGCGGUAACAC